GUAGGGAAUAUUGGGCAAUGGAGGCAACUCUGACCCAGCCAUGCCGCGUGCAGGAUGACGGCCCUCUGGGUUGUAAACUGCUUUUAUACGGGAAGAAAAAAUACUACGUGGAGUAUACUGACGGUACCGUAAGAAUAAGGAUCGGCUAACUCCGUGCCAGCAGCCGCGGUAAUACGGAGGAUCCAAGCGUUGUCCGGAUUUAUUGGGUUUAAAGGGUGCGUAGGCGGAUCUUUAAGUCAGUGGUGAAAGCCUGCAGCUUAACUGUAGAAUUGCCAUUGAAACUGAAGAUCUUGAAUGUGGUUAAAGUAGGCGGAAUGUAUCAUGUAGCGGUGAAAUGCUUAGAUAUGAUACAGAACACCGAUAGCGAAGGCAGCUUGCUGAACCAUUAUUGACGCUGAGGCACGAAAGCGUGGGGAGCGAACAGGAUUAGAAACCCCAGUAGUCC
rnacentral:rRNA from 1 species